rnacentral:rRNA from 1 species
UAACGCGUGAGGAACCUGCCUCAAAGAGGGGGACAACAGUUGGAAACGACUGCUAAUACCGCAUAAGCCCACGGCUCGGCAUCGAGCAGAGGGAAAAGGAGCAAUCCGCUUUGAGAUGGCCUCGCGUCCGAUUAGCUAGUUGGUGAGGUAAUGGCCCACCAAGGCGACGAUCGGUAGCCGGACUGAGAGGUUGAACGGCCACAUUGAGACUGAGACACGGCCCAG